rnacentral:rRNA from 1 species
CACGUAGGAGACGAGCGUUAUCCGGAUUUACUGGGCGUAAAGCGCGGGUAGGUGGGGUCUUAAGUCAUGCGUGAAAGCUCCCGGCUUAACCGGGAGAGGUCGUGUGAAACUGGGGCUCUCAGAGGUAGGUAGAGGCAGAUGGAAUUCCGGGUGGAGUGGUGAAAUGCGUAGAGAUCCGGAGAAACACCAGUGGCGAAGGCGAUCUGCUAGGCCUGACCUGACACUCAGACGCGACAGCAUGGGGAGCGAACGGG